rnacentral:rRNA from 1 species
UACGUAGGGUGCAAGCGUUGUCCGGAAUUAUUGGGCGUAAAGAGCUCGUAGGCGGUUUGUUGCGUCGGCUGUGAAAUCCCGAGGCUCAACCUCGGGUCUGCAGUCGAUACGAGCAAACUAGAGUGUUGCAGGGGAGACUGGAAUUCCUGGUGUAGCGGUGAAAUGCGCAGAUAUCAGGAGGAACACCGGUGGCGAAGGCGGGUCUCUGGGCCUUACCUGGACGCUGGAGGAGCGAAAGCGUGGGUAGCGAACAGG